UACGUAGGGGGCAAGCGUUGUCCGGAAUCAUUGGGCGUAAAGAGCGUGUAGGCGGCCAGGUAGGUCGGUUGUGAAAACUAGAGGCUCAACCUCUAGACGUCGACCGAAACCACUUGGCUAGAGUCCGGAAGAGGAGAGUGGAAUUCCUGGUGUAGCGGUGAAAUGCGUAGAUAUCGAGAGGAACACCUGCGGCGAAGGCGGGUUGCUGGGCUGACACUGACGCUGAACUGCGAAAGCUAGGGGAGCGAACGGG
rnacentral:rRNA from 1 species